CGGCGUUCCCUGCGCAGGUUGUCUCCGCAGCUCCCGGGAGACCCACCCCCCCGAGCCCCCGCGCCCCGCCUCCAGCGCCUCGCCGGAAACGUGCUCCGCCCCUUCUGCCGCCGGUCGCUGGGAGGAAUCCGAGUCUUGGCGCUAAUCGUCUCUCCUUCGUCCCCUUGGCUGUCCUGACAACUUAUUUAUGGUCUAAGAUGCACUGUCUGAGAUUACACAGCUAUUAAGUAGUGGAUCCAGUAUGGAACAGAGGCCAGUCUGGCUCCAGUGGGCUACUUUCAGCCACCGUGCUCUAUUGUUUAUGCUGAUAUCCUCCAAAGAUGACUCAGUUGCUACAGUCCCCCUUUGAACAGUGCCAUCCUUGCCAAGGAGUUGACACUUCUCUUGAAUUUGUUAAGCCAAUGUUUGUGAAAUUUCAGCCAGCAUUGUGAAAGCAGCAUUUCCCAUUUCACAUGACGCCAGCUUCCAGACAACUAGACAAGUCUAAACAAAUAUGAGACCCACUAAAAAGCCGAUGACGGGCGCACACACCAUGGACUCUGGCUGGAGGCUGCAGAGGGCAGGGCCCGGAUUCCCAUCAUCCAGCCGUGGCUCCACCACCACUGCUUGUGGCUUUCCAAGGAUGCCUGAAGCCAAGCUCUGUGGUGGCUUGAAGCCCUUCCAUGGCACUGAAGCCCACCACAGAGCUCUAUGGAGUAACCACACCUCUCCCAGCUCACGAAAACUUCUGAGAUCCCUCUACUUAACCCCCGCAACAUCCCACACUGGCAGCCUAAGCAGGCCACCAGUGGAGCUGGCCCAGAGAAUGGAGAGAUCAACUUUAAAAAGUUUCUCAAAAUUACUGCCCACUACCCCUCUUCUCUUCUUAAUUAAGAAAAAAUUAUGAAACUUUUUAUUUCUCAGCUGCAUUGCACAGCAUGCGAGAUCUUAAUUCCCUGA